rnacentral:lncRNA from 1 species
UUAUAUUGUAGUCUCCCAAACGCUUAGUACAGUAUUCUGCACACAGUAAGUCCUCAAUUCAUUCGAUAGUAUUUACUGAGCACUUACUAUGUGCAGAGCAGUGUACUGAGCACUUGGAAUGUACAGUAAAUACAAUUGACUGACUGAUACUGUGGUGAGCCCCACACAGAAACAAACUGGAAGGGAAAGGUGUAUCCCAUGGCAACUUCGGGUGAGAAUCUAAUUUGUUUACUUCUCUCAGCAGUUUCACAAUGUAGCCAGCCCCUCUGAUUCAGCUUUUGUUUUGUGUUUUUCCUGAAUUAGAAAGCCCAGCCACCAGCGGCUGUGAUGCCCACCUAGAAGGUUCCACCCCUCGAAGAUUUUUCCCUUUUUUUUCCUUCAAGUAAAUGAACCUCUCCCUUAUAAACUCAAUUUCACUGCAGGAGCGACCAAUUAACUUGAUUUAGAAAGCGAAACCAAGGAGAGACGUGAGAGUCACACCAGAGAGAGACUAAGUGGAAAGGUAGAAGCGAUCCGGACCGACAUCCUGUACUUACAGGGAGCUCCGGUAUGAAGGGCCAAGGCGAAGGCUCUGGAGGAUCCUUGAUUCCAUCAGUUUCACUCAUGGCUAUGAGGAGUAUAUAAAAGGACUGGAGAAAAAGCAAAGAAAAAGUGUUCAAGAAAUUAAAGAAAAACAGCCAUGUGUGUCCCAGCAGCUACUUCGCUCCUGUUAACCUGUGAACUACCUGUAGGUUUGGGAUGUGUCUCUUACAUCCCAUAGAUCUCUCAUGUGCUUAGCGCUUGCUCACUGUAGAUAUUUCAUUAAAUACCUAUUGAUUGAUAUGUUU